UAGCUGUGAUGAAUAAUUUGCGCUCAAUGUGGUGAUUAGGGUCUCCGCACUCUUCUGAAUUUGCAGCAAGACAAGUUGAGCAUCCGAGCUU
rfam:Nicotiana sylvestris Nsyl_contig188846, whole genome shotgun sequence.